AACGAACGCUGGCGGCAGGCCUAACACAUGCAAGUCGAACGAGAACGGAUUAUAGCUUGCUAUAAUUGUCAGCUAAGCGGCGCACGGGUGAGUAAUGUAUAGGUAAUAUGCCUCUUACUAAGGGAUAACAAAUGGAAACGUUUGCUAAUACCUUAUACUCCUUAUUAACAGAAGUUAAUAAGGGAAAGAUUUAUUGGUAAGAGAUUAGCCUGUAUUGUAUCAGUUAGUUGGUGGGGUAAUGGCUUACCAAGACUAUGACACAUAACUGGUUUGAGAGGAUGAUCAGUCACACUGGAACUGAGACACGGUCCAGACUCCUACGGGAGGCAGCAGUGGGGAAUAUUGCACAAUGGACGAAAGUCUGAUGCAGCAACGCCGCGUGGAGGAUGACACAUUUCGGUGCGUAAACUCCUUUUAUAUGAGAAGAUAAUGACGGUAUUAUAUGAAUAAGCACCGGCUAACUCCGUGCCAGCCGCCGCGGUAAUAC
rnacentral:rRNA from 1 species